AUGUGUAAGCCUUCACUAAUAAUGUUUAUUGGCUUUAUGCAUAGCUUAUAUGAAUUCUCCAUUAGUUACGCCUAUUGAUAUUAAUACUUGCUGUUGUCUGGGACUCACAGACCUUAUUAUACUUUAAUUUAGAAAAUGAACUGUCAGCCAUAGCAAUAGAGAGAAGAUUACCGACUUCUUGCAGGAUGUUUAUUGGUACAUGCAAGAGGCUGAGAAUCAUGGUUCUAAUGCUGAGGUAGAAACAAUUUUUACGAAUAAUCAGUAAGAGGUACUCUAAAAUAACUUGACUUGCUAUGGAUAAUUGUUGUACCUUUGUAGCUGACAUGAUUUGGCAAUGUGGAAAUUUGUUUCAUUGUGCGAGGAAAUGAAUGUCCUUUUUUUGGGCAAUGAGGAAAUGUGUGUUUCAAUUUUCAUAGUAUCUGACAUAAUAAUAUUUAGCAAUGUAGUAUCUUUUAAUGUAUUCUGUUAUGCAUUGUUGGGUGACCCUUUGCACUCUUUUCUGAAA